rnacentral:rRNA from 1 species
CUGGCGGCGUGCCUAAUACAUGCAAGUCGAACGGUCUUUCUAUGGAAGCUUGCUUCCACUGAGAAGAUAGUGGCGAACGGGUGAGUAACACGUGGGUAACCUGCCCGAUAAGAGGGGGGAUAACAUCCGGAAACGGGUGCUAAUACCGCAUAGUUUUCUUGAUCGCAUGAUCGGGAAAGGAAAGACGGCCUUUGUGCUGUCGCUUAUGGAUGGACCCGCGGCGUAUUAGUUAGUUGGUGAGGUAACGGCUCACCAAGACGAUGAUACGUAGCCGACCUGAGAGGGUGAUCGGCCACAUUGGGACUGAGACACGGCCCAAACUCCUACGGGAGGCAGCAGUAGGGAAUCUUCCGCAAUGGACGAAAGUCUGACGGAGCAACGCCGCGUGAGUGAAAGAAGGUUUUCGGAUCGUAAACUCUGUUGUCAGAGAAGAACAAGUUGGAGAGUAACUGCUCCAGCCUUGACGGUAUCUGACCAGAAAGCCACGGCUAACUACGUGCCAGCCGCGGC